rnacentral:lncRNA from 1 species
GCUUCAAAGAAGACACUUUGCUGUUGAUAGCUGAGCUUUCAGCCCUCUGGCUGUCCUCCCAGAUCCAUUGUCUGUGCUGUCCUGAACCGCCUGAGUGGUCUUCGUGAAUCUUCCCAUACGCCUGCCCCACCUCACUUUCCUGGCAGCAACUUGGUGACGUGUGAGAAGCCUGCACUGGGAGGCUUGGCUGUAAUGCAGAGUGACUUCAUCACCUAAAACUUCAGUGUUGUGUCUGCUUAGCCCUUGAGCUAACAACCACCCCACCCCCUAUCUCUGGGAACUGCCCUCUCACCCACACAGGUGGGUACCUGGCUGCCAUAUUUGUACUCAAUGACCCUAACUAACUGGAGAGAGGACAGAGGAUUUACCUGGUCAUAGCUCGACCAAUCAGAAUCUCCCCAAGAGAUUUAGAAAUCAAAGAUUCU